ensembl:snRNA U6 U6 spliceosomal RNA
GUACUUGCUUUGGCGGCACAUAUACUAAAACUGGAAAAAUACAGAGAAGAUUAGUAUAGUCCCUGCACAAAGAUGACGUGCAAAUUCAUGAAGCGUUCCAUAGUUUU